UUUCUAUCUUUAAAACGUAAGU
rnacentral:snRNA from 1 species